AAAAUUUUGCUUUUAAAAGGUCUAGAGUCUUAUCAACUCCAAAAUGGCCCAUGAGUCCCCCCUCAUGUGAUUCUUUGACAAGGAGUUUCCUAUGUGUUCCUUGGGGAAUGCAAAGUUUUCCCUCUUUAAAAAGAUAUCCCUCGGACACAUAGUAACCUCCUUGCGCUCUAUGUAGACAUUGGGCAUAGAUGGAUGAGAGUUCUUGAUCUUCUUGGUAAAGCUCUCUUAUGUGGUCAAAUCCAAGAAUUUGGGCACC
rnacentral:lncRNA from 1 species